ensembl:snRNA U6 U6 spliceosomal RNA
GUACUCGCUCUAGCAGCAUAUUUACUAAAAUUGGAACUACACAGAGAUUAACCAGGCCCCUGCACAAGGAUGACAUGCAAAUUCAUGAAUUGUGACACAUUUUU